UUUUGAAUAAUCCUAUAUAUAAGAUAUAGUAGGGCUAAGCAUCUUAAUCCGGCUAUAGCAUUUUGGGUAACGACUAGAACUAAAAGAUUAAGAGAGUUGACUGAGCUUAGUGUUAGAAUAGUUUUAGAAUAGGUGAUCUCCUUGGGAAGCCUGGCAUUACAACUGGUAUCAGAGUCAAUCACUAUCCGAAAGUGUGAGAUAAUUCUCGAUUGAGUUAAGGUCGUACAGCGAGUAGAGAGUAUGACUAAACAUCUUAACUCGACUAUAGUAUUUUGGCCGGCGGUU
rnacentral:lncRNA from 1 species